rnacentral:rRNA from 1 species
UACAGAGGGUGCAAGCGUUAAUCGGAAUUACUGGGCGUAAAGCGCGCGUAGGUGGUUUGUUAAGUUGGAUGUGAAAGCCCCGGGCUCAACCUGGGAACUGCAUCCAAAACUGGCAAGCUAGAGUACGGUAGAGGGUGGUGGAAUUUCCUGUGUAGCGGUGAAAUGCGUAGAUAUAGGAAGGAACACCAGUGGCGAAGGCGACCACCUGGACUGACACUGACGCUCAGGCACGAAAGCGUGGGGAGCAAACAGG